CCUGGUUAAACUAGUAAUGGAUUUGGCCCCACAUCUCGGUGAAAUAGGACUAGGAAUAAGCCAUUGCACCAUUCACCCUGCUUUCAUUUUAAAAAAAACCCUUGGAUGUCAACAUUUUUAGAAGAGGCCUGGUCUGUGGCUAGGACUGGUUUCCAGCAACUCCCGACUUCCACUGCAGAGGAAGGCCAGUCACACAAACACCCUGCCUCAGUUUCCCCAAGUGAAGUGAAACCUUUCCAAGCGUGUGGGGUUCAUGACGGGACAGUCGUGAGAGCCGUAAAACAACUCUGGGAAUGCCAUACAGGUCGCAAAUAAAGUGAGCUGCCUCAUCCCAGCAAGAGUUCUGAUGCAAUGCAGGAGAGCCUGGCAAAUGAUUGCAAAUGAGCAGCAUAUGACUGCAAACACCACAGGACAGCCCUCGAGUCCUUACAAAGCAAAAAUAAACCUGAUCAGCAGCCACCAGCCACGGGAGCAAAGGAAAAAAUAACUCUGCUUUGGAAUCUGUUUGUCUAACGGCUCCCCCAGAACCCGCCUUUGCCCAUCACUGCAUGUACAAAGUGUCCUGCAGCAGGAACAGCCAGAGCGUGUGCUCAGCUGCACAUCGCCGGGAAGC